ACAUAAAACAUGAAAGAAAGAAAGAAAGAAAGAAAGAAAGAAAAAGUUGGUGAUCAUGAGUCAAUGCAAGAAUGACUGUUGCGUUU
rnacentral:ribozyme from 14 species